AUCCAGCUGACGAGUCCCAAUUGGGAUGAAACGCGCGUCCUGAAU
rnacentral:hammerhead_ribozyme from 1 species